AUAACGGUCCUAAGGUAGCGAAAUUCCUUGUCGGGUAAGUUCCGACCCGCACGAAUGGCGUAACGACUUGGGCACUGUCUCAACAAGGGACCCGGCGAAAUUGUAGUAUGUGUGAAGAUGCACAUUACCCGCGAUAGGACGGAAAGACCCCGUAGAGCUUUACUGUAGCUUGACAUUGGAUUUUGGUAACAUAUGUACAGGAUAGGUGGGAGGCGGAGAAAUCAGUACGCCAGUACUGAUGGAGCCGACGUUGGGAUACCACUCUUAUGUUACUGAAGUUCUAACGAGUAGCCGUGAACCGGUACUUGGACAGUGUCAGGUGGGCAGUUUGACUGGGGCGGUCGCCUCCGAAAAGGUAACGGAGGCGUUCAAAGGUUCCCUCAGAAUGGUUGGAAACCAUUCGAAGAGUGCAAAGGCAGAAGGGAGCUUGACUGCGACACCGACGGGUGGAGCAGGUACGAAAGUAGGACUUAGUGAUCCGGUGGUAUAAAGUGGGAUUGCCAUCGCUCAACGGAUAAAAGCUACCCUGGGGAUAACAGGCUUAUCACUCCCAAGAGUUCACAUCGACGGAGUGGUUUGGCACCUCGAUGUCGGCUCAUCGCAUCCUGGGGCUGUAGUAGGUCCCAAGGGUUGGGCUGUUCGCCCAUUAAAGCGGUACGCGAGCUGGGUUCAGAACGUCGUGAGACAGUUCGGUCCCUAUCCGGCGUGGGCGUAGGAUAUUUGAGAGGAGCUGUCCUUAGUACGAGAGGACCGGGAUGGACAAACCUCUGGUGUAUCUGUUGUUUUACCAAAGGCAUGGCAGAGUAGCCAAGUUUGGCAGGGAUAAACGCUGAAGGCAUCUAAGCGUGAAGCCCCCCUCAAGAUGAGAUAUCCCUCCUUCGGGAGUAAGACCCCUUGAAGACUACAAGGUAGAUAGGGCAGAGGUGGAAGUGUGGCAACACAUGGAGCUGACUGUUACUAAUAGGUCGAGGGCUUAAUCUG
rnacentral:rRNA from 1 species